GCAUCAAUGGGGUAGUGGUAACCUGGGUCGUUGCCAUUCCAGAGCCAACAAAGCGUGUUUCGACCCGCCGGGGGUUCAAUUCCCCCUUGAUGCA
rfam:Stereum hirsutum FP-91666 SS1 unplaced genomic scaffold STEHIscaffold_17, whole genome shotgun sequence.